rnacentral:tRNA from 1 species
UCCCAGGUGGCUCAGUGGUAAAGAAUCUGCCUGCCAAGCAGGAGACACAGGUUCAAUCCCUGGGUCAGGAA